UUCAAUGAGUGAGGCCUGGAGGCUGGAGAGAGGGAAGAGACUUCCCCAGGGCCUCAGGAUUUGAGGAAAUCACACCUGCGUGUUGGACUCUAAAGCUCCCCAUCUUUCCAGAUACAGCAUAAAUCCUGACCUCUCACUGUCUUUUAUCAGAAAUCCGAAGUUCACAGCCUAAGACUCCAGCUGGGUUGGACCACACACAAGAGGGCAAGACACCAGGACUGCUGGCCGAGGUGCACUUCGAGGGUGGUCCAGAGAUUCCUCUCAACACUCUUCACAGCCCGUCCUGAGGGGUAAAUUGGAGUGCAGAGGUUGUGGGAAGGGUGGGGAGGCAGCAGGCUGUAAGCAGCCUGGAGCGCCAGCCUAGACCAGGACGCCUCCACCUCGGCAACACCGCAGCCAGGUCAUUCUGUGUCAUGGAACCAUCUCGUACCUGCAGGACUUGGGCAGCACCCUUGGCCUCCACUCACUAGAUGCAGUGGCACCCCCGAGUUGUGACAUCCUUUUUGGUCUCCUGACAAUGCAUAAUACCCCUUGGGGGGCAAAAUCACCUCUGGCUGAGAAACACUGGUUUAUGAACCCUAUUGCUAUUAAAAAACCACUGACCUGUA